rnacentral:rRNA from 1 species
AGAUAGCCAUGCAUGUCCAAGUAUAAAUCUGUUACAAGAUGAAACUGCGAAUGGCUCAUUAAAUCAGUUCUAGUUUCUUUGAUGGUGUCUUACUACAUGGAUAACCGUAGUAACAUAGAGCUAAUACGUGCUUCAAAUCCUGACUGGUGCUCUCGGGUGCCUGGAAUAGGAUGUAUUUAUUAGAUCCAAAACCAAUGCGUUAUCGCGUGCUUUCGGGUGCGUGGUGGCGGUUAUGUUGGUGAUUCAUGCUAACUUUUCGGAUCGCAUGGCCUUGCGCUGGCGAUGCUUCAUUCAAGUUUCUGCCCUAUCAACUGUCGAUGGUAGGGUAUUGGCCUACCAUGGUUGUAACGGGUGACGGAGAAUUAGGGUUCGGUUCCGGAGAGGGAGCCUGAGAAAUGGCUACCACAUCUAUGGAUGGCAGCAGGCGCGCAAAUUACCCAAUCCCGACCUGGGGAGGUAGUGACAAUAAAUAACAAUGCGGUUCCUUCUUUGGUUCUGCAAUUGGAAUGAGAACAAUCUAAACACCUUAACGAGGAGCAAUUGGAGGGCAAGUCUGGUGCCAGCAGCCGCGGUAAUUCCAGCUCCAAUAGCGUAUAUUAAAGUUGUUGCAGUUAAAAAGCUCGUAGUUGGAUUUCGGAGCGGUCGGGUUGGUCCGCCCAGCGUGGUGUGUACUGGCCUUGGUGGUACGGCUAGGGUAUGCUUCUUUCACGAGGGGCUGCCUUCAGUCUGCCGCCCUUGUUGCGUGUACACGUAGCAAGUGACCGUUCUUCUCCCUCGGAGACGGAGUCUGUCCUUCAGUGGAUGGGCUUUGGAUGCGAGGUGUUUACUUUGAAAAAAUUAGAGUGUUCAAAGCAGGCCUUAUCUUCGCUUGAAUACAUUAGCAUGGAAUAAUGGAAUAGGACUCUGUGCCUAUUUUGUUGGUUUGAAGGCAGAGAGUAAUGAUUAAUAGGGACAGUUGGGGGCAUUCGUAUUUAAUUGUCAGAGGUGAAAUUCUUGGAUUUCUGAAAGACGAACAACUGCGAAAGCAUUUGCCAAGGAUGUUUUCAUUAAUCAAGAACGAAAGUUAGGGGUUCGAAGACGAUCAGAUACCGUCGUAGUCCUAACCAUAAACAAUGCCGACUAGGGAUCAGCGUACGUUCGUUCWAUGGGACGUCGUUGGCACCUUACGA